AAGGGGAAAAGGAAUGGCGUCAGCUGAGGGCGCUGCCUAUUCCUCCCCUUCCCGCCACUUCUCCUCAGACAACCAGGCCGGGCCCCAACGCGACGCCAGGGGGCGCCAUUUUGUCUUCCCUCCUCACCCCUUCCACAGCCCCUGAAGCACCGCGCCGCCAUCUUCUUUUCCCUCCUCACGCCUCUCCUUAGCCCCAUCCCGGCUCUGCCGCCUCAUAACUAAGGUGGUGCCACCGGGAAGGACUCCUUGCUCGUGCCUGCCCCGAAGAUGAGUUUGUGGUGACUUACUGUUAAAUUAUCUCACGAAAACUUUCUGGGCCAUGCAGCGUGCUCGCAGCUGUGACAAGUGCCGCUGGCUGCUGACCUGUGUCAGCCUCGGAGCUCUCCUCCAGCUCUGAUGAGGACUGCCUCAAGGAUCUGACAGGAGGAAUUGAGUAUGCUGCCAAGAUAUUAAAUGAAAUUCCCCAGAAAGACAUUCAGUGCACUAAAAGAGCCUCAAAGGCAGAAAGGGAAGGAAAUGGGCAAGGGAAUUCAUCAGCAUGGGAUUGUACCAGGAGAGAUGAAAAGUCCCUUGAGCUUUUGCUGUCUUCAGUGCGGGCCAGUGAUGGAUACUUGAGGCUUUUGGAUCAUUUUGUACCUUCUGUCUGCAAUACACACACCAGCAAGCAGCGCCGUUUUGCCUGGUUGUAAGAUGGCUGUGAGCCUCCAGCAGCUGGCAGGCAGAACCACUGCACUUGCUCGGUGGGGAGAGGCUGAUCUUCGUGGGGCCGGGGACUCUCAGCUGAGUCAGUACAACUGGCUGGUGCUCUGGUGGCUUCCUGCUCCGGAUUCACACUAGGUGGCCGUUGACGUCCUUACUUUGUGCUGUGGGAUGACACAGACUUGGAAGGACUCUGCAAAUUCAGCACACGUGGACUUUUCAGAACCUCUUUAUGGUUGCCAUCACUUCCUGGUUCUUUUGUGGUGCUUUUUGGUAGCUGAGGACAUUCUUUCUGUGUGUGUAAGAGCGCAGCUCCAGAACAAAAUGUCUGCUGAUGAAAAAUCUCCAGUUUGAGCUGGCCACCCGUACAUGGUAGUAUGAAUGUUGUGUGUCUGUGUGACAGUUGCUGUCUUUGUUGGGAUUUCCAGACUGAAUCAAAGGCCACCAAAAGAAGUGUGAACUGUCAGAGAAGAGGACGGGCAUAUUUCUUAAACAGGGAGUGUCACUGGUAAUGGACCAGGGUGGAUUUGGCUUGGCUCUUUCAAAACCAGUGUAUUGUUGUGUAAACCUGAGGAAGCCAGAAAUCAAUGCAGCUUGUUCUUAACCAGUGCUGCAUUGUAUUGGCUUAAUUUGUUAGGGCCAUGUGCCAGCCUGUAGGGAACCAGGACGGUAUUAGUGCAGUGGUACGGGCUGGACGCUGACUGCUGAGUUAUGUUUUAUGCACAUCACGUUGCUUCUGUUUCCAGGCCAGUGUUUUCUGCCCUCGCAGCGGGAUGCUUUUGAGGCUGUCCUAGAAGCAUUUAAAAGAAUUCCAACGCUUUUGCAGGGGUGGCGAAUGAUAUCCUGGGUUAAUGCAGUGAUGAACUCGUAUCACAACAUCACAGCAUUUUAAUGGGAACAAGAAGGGAGAGGUGGAGUGGGGCAGGAACUUCUGAUGCUGGCUCUGCCACCAAGGAAUACAUGUUAUGUAACUAGACUCUGAAAAUUAAAUGUUACGCUUCCGUGCUCUUCUUA